GCGCUCUUUAGUCAAUGUUAAGCAAAUUAAACCGCGACCAAACAUAGCCAUAAAGUUGAUGGCUUCUGGUGUUACAUGCUCCGCAGCCAUAAU
rnacentral:antisense_RNA from 1 species